AAUUUCAAGCUCCUUCUAUCUUUAGAUUUGCCUUCCCCAUUCUUCCAACUCCAUGUGCUGCCAAUUCCUGGGGCAUUUGGGGUUCUAUAGUGCAAAUUGAAUUGGUUUUUGACCUUCUUUACUGCUAACCUAGGAAUCAACUUUCUUAGCUAAGGAUUUGCUUCUUGUCUUUCUGCAGUCUAGCUUCUAAAAUAGUGCCAUUUUCUCUGUCCCUCCUGCCCCCUUUGUUUUGUUAUUGUGAGAUUUUUUCCUCUU
rnacentral:lncRNA from 10 species